rfam:Gaeumannomyces graminis var. tritici R3-111a-1 unplaced genomic scaffold supercont2.1, whole genome shotgun sequence.
GGUCGUAUAGCGCAAUGGUAACGCGUUCGCUUUUAUAGCGGGAGGUUUUAAGUUCGAUUCCCGGUGCAACCU